CUCUGUUUUAUUCGCAGUAUAUGUCCAAAGCGAAAGAUGGAGGGAAACAGGGGAAAGGAUCCUACUGCUUUCCUCCAUUCAGUUCCACUCACCUUCUCAUUGGAAUUCCUUCCAGAUGCGAAGAAAAGCUUGCCAGUGUCAGCUUUUGGUAAGGGCCACUUUGCCCAACCUCAGGUAACGGAUGGCUUUGUAGAGGAAGUGACGUCUGGUUUGAGUCGAGUCCUACAUGAAGAGGCGGAGAUUGGAAAGGGCAUUCUUGACAAAGCACGUAUGCUGUGAGAACAUGGUGAGAACACGGCACAUUUGAGGAAACCUUAAGACAAAAGCCUUUACCUUUCCAAAGGAAUUAUCUCCAGUUCUUUACUCUGCAAAAGCCUGUCUCUUUGCCUUAUGCCAAAAAUCAUAUACAUAAGUGCUCAGUAAAUAUUAGAUGACCAGAUGAAUGAAUGAUAUGAGUUGUCUUGAUUAGGGAAAUUCCCUUCUCAUAGAAUGCUCUUUUUCUCUCUACCAGUCUGAAUUCCAUCAAGAUCUGGCUAGAGACAUACCUCCCUGAAGCUUUUCUUAUCCACAGUGACCUUUACUUGCUCUGAAUUUUGUCUUUUACCAUUCUCACAUUGUUUAAUGUUUCCUGCUAAUCUCAUCUUCCCAAUGAAACAUAAAGUCCUCAAAGUAGAGACUCAUCUCCUUCUCCUUCUCCCUCUUUUUUUGAAAAAAAAAAAAAAAAAAAGUCAUUUUGUUUUGGUUUUUGCUUUGGCAUACCCAAAUGCCCUACAGAGCACAUGUUUGCUUUCUAUGGAAGGAAAGAGGGAGCAGAGCCCAAGAGAGUAGCUGUCCUCAUGGAGUAUUUGGCUUAGUCAUGACCUCUACAGUCCCCCUUCUCCCUCAUUACUUAUUUAUUUUAUAAUCUCUUUUAAAUCUAAAUAAUUUCCUGACUUCACAAAUGAGAUUUUACUCCAAGGCUUCAAAUUUCAGCAAAAGAUAAAUAGCUUACUAAGAUGUCACAUUCUGUAACCAAAGGCAUUAAUUUUCACCUUCUCUUUUCUAGAACAAAUGAGAUACUAUAAUUCCCUUUGAUGCAGUGUAGCAAAUCAGACACUAAAAUAGCACUAGCUACUUUUCAUAUACAAAGAAACACCACUGUUGUUUCUACCUUAAUAUUUCUGCAUCUUAAAGAGCCUUUCAACCCAUCUUGUGUAAAUCUCCAUCCCUGUUCUCUGGUCUGCUGUAUUCUGCCAUCUUUUGCAAACACUUCGAAUUUGUCUUCCUUCGUCUAUUCUUGCCCUUCUAAAUACAUUCUACUGAAGACAUUCAGGGAGAGCCAGGCUGUUCACAGCAUUUCCCUAAAACCCCUUGGUUGCUGCCCUUGCAAACAGGAUAAAGACCAGAAUCUUUAACAGCAUCUACAAGACUUGGCACAGUCUGGGGCCAAACCACGUUGCCAGCUUCAUUUCUCACCAAGUUCUCUCAUUCUUGUGGUUCUAGUGGGCUCCAGCCACAAGGACCUUCCUUUAAUUGCUCGUGGACACCUUGCUUCUUCCAGCUCCAGGAUUUCAGUCCAUACUCUCCUUCCUCAGCUCAAGCUAUUUCUUUCCUAAGGAAGCCAUUCUUAAUUCAUACAAGACAACACAACCUGUACUCUUCCAUUAUAUACACACACACUCAGCACCACAUGCUUUUUUUUUUUACUUCAUAGAACUUAUCACAUUUCCAAUUAUGAUUUGUUCAUACAAUGACUUAUAUAACACCUUGUGUUCCCAGCUAGUCUAAAAACUCGGUAAGGAUAGGAACUACAUCUGUUUUGUUCACUAUUCUAUAUCUGUAGUACAUAAAUGGUACCUGGCAGAUAGUAGGCAUUUAAUAAAUAUUUGACAAAUGAAUGCCAUCUGCAAUAGAUGUUAUUAAGAUGGAGUCUGUCUCUUUUUGUCUUUUUCUUUUUCCUUUUUCCUUCUUUUCCUUCCUUCUUUCUCUUCCUCUCUUUUCCCUUCCUUUCCCUCCCUCCUUCCCUUCCUUCUUUCCUUCCUUCCUUCCUUUCUUUUCUAAUUUAAACCUAUCUAAGCCACAAUUCCAGUGACUUGAAUUCUAGGGAAAGGUAAAAUAGGUUGGGUAUUCCUGUUAGGACAAAAGGUUGACAAAUUAACUCAAACUUACCCAUACCCUUAUUUCCUAUGUAUACACAAAUUACUGGUACACUAAUCACAUUUUCCCACAAACAGCUUAAAGCAACUCCAUAAGCUCUUAUUUAAAUGAUCUGGGCCUGUUCAUGGGUUUUUGUUUUGUAAAUAAACACUAUUUUUACCACUUAAGAAAUAGUCUGGAUAUUUAAAACUCCUCAAACUUAGGAGGGGAAAUAAUUUGGGAUAAAAAGCAAGGAAAGACACAAUAUUUUAGUUUGUAAAAUUGGUUUAUUUACAAUUUGGUAUUUUUAAAUUGUAUUUGGAAUUUUAAUUUUUAUAUAUUUGCCUGGUAGGCAUCCUAUGUUUUCUUAAAUAUGGAGGCAAAGAAAUAGGAAACCUGAGUAAGUUUGAAUUUAAGAGGUUUACCUGUUGCUUCAGUCAGUAAAUUUUAACUUUUAAUCCCUGAGAAUUAGUAGAGUCAAAAAUAUUUUCAUACAUUCAAAUGUAAAAAGCGUAUUUUAAGAACAGAAAAUAAUAAAGCUACUAUAAUUAAUCAUACUCCCCGAAUAUGGCGAUAUAAGGAGUCCCUCUUUCACCAAUUAACUGAGAGGUGUGUGCACAGUGCCUUUUAGUUAUCAGGUGCACCAAUGAGACAAAGAUGCUCUAGUCCUCAGUUUUUUGCAGUUUCUCCUUUUAAAAAAUAUUCCUGGGAACUGAUACACAAUUUAUUCAAGUAUUAGACAUGCUCACUGCUCAGAGCCCUCCCCUCACCCCCGCUUCUCAAUUUUUCUGUGUGGUGUAUAGUUAGGGAUUUUCCUUUACUGUCCGAGACCAAAAUUCCUUAUUGGAUUGCAACCUGAGGCCCAAACUGUUUUUGCAAAGUCACUUUGGAACAAGUCACUUCAGUUUCCUCAAAUAUCAGGUGAGGGAUAAUUAUAGCUUACAGGAACGUAUAAGGCUGCACUGAUGUUCCUACAAUGCCACGAGACCUGCUAAGUCUUUGUAGGGAACAAUGCUCUAUAACAUUAUCAUAGUUAUACCCUGCUGCUCCUUAUUAUAGAUGACUAGUUAAUGCUCCUAAAAUGUCAGCUUUCUUUGGAGGAGUAAAUAUUAAUUCAUUAGUUUGCUCAUUAAACUUCCUUGAGAAGCAAAGAAAUGGCAGUUUAUGCCCUCCCCAAUACAUACGAACUGUAGCACAGAUAUUAAGGAUGUGACCACAGCACAACAGUAAGUCAAAGUCAAACCAAAUAAACCAAAAGUUUUGCAGUAAGAUGCAAUCUUCUUCUGUAUGUGUAUCACACUGGCAGUCGCUUUCCAUUUUGGACAGUGUUAAGCAUCACUAAUGACAAGUGUUUAUUUGCCUAAUGACUAAAAAAGAAGCAAUGUAAUUCAAACUUUUAAAAAACAAAACAAAGUCACAAAUACCCUUUCUUCAAAUCUCCUAAUGCUCUCUUUCCAAAAGAAAAUAAACGAAUUUCCCUUUCUUUAAAAGGCCAAUACCAAUGCCAGCUAAGAACAUUCUCUAGUGCUAGUUUAAAGGCAACUUUGAAGUUCCCAAAAUAGUUACUUGUAUAGGUGUUGAUUCCCAAAGCAAAAAGAUUACAGAAAUUCAAACAGAAUAUAGUAUUACUCAGUUUAAGAAAGAGCUUUAAAAAGACCUGAUAAAAGAGAAUGAGUGGGAAUUAUAAUCUGCUCUGAGUAAGUCAGAUCUGGACAAUUUUAAAUUUAAAUUGCUGCUUUAGCAUCAACCUUCAAUUUUAUACGUAAUGCACGUGUCUUAAAUUUUUUUUUUCCAUAGAUAUUGAGUUUCUUGGUCAGUUGGUAUUUUUUUCAAUUGGUAAGAACUCUGAUUAGCAAGAGAAGCAGUAAUGGGCAAUUAUGGCAUAGGAUAUGGCAAGCCUGAGUCUGGAUUUGGGAAUAGUGUCCCCUUGUUUUAGCAAAUCCCACUUUUGUUGAAGGAAGCCACACUAAGUAAUUUUUUGGCUGCUGGUGGCAAGAGGGGUGUAAAUAAAAAUGUGUGGUAGUUCUUUCCACAAGAGGGAAAUCUUUGUCUACAUAAUAUCCCUACGUCUGACAAAUUACUAGGGCAUCUGCUCGCUGUCUUCUGUAAGCAAACUCUUGGCUUGGUAUUAACCAAACCUGACAAAUCAUGAGCUAGGUGCUGUUUCCGAUCAAGCCAUGGAAGAACGAAGACACUAACACCCAAAAGACAUGAACCAUAGAGACCACCAAGUAAAAUAACUACAAAAGCAUAAGCAUUAAGAAGCACGUGGGGGAGCUGGUGAGAGCACAUAUGAAGAAUUUGCCAGAACUUGCGCACAGAAAACAAUAAAGACCGGUGGGGAAUAAUUUACAGACUCUGCUCCCACAACUUGUUACCUUGAAGAUUUAAAAAAAAAAAAAAAAAAGAUUUGAAAUUCUAGCAGGAUACAGAACCUGGCCGCAGAGGCCAUAUAAAGGAAAAGUAACAUAGAAACAUUACAGGUGAAGGAAUAGGGUAUCCUGAGAAAAGCAAGAGUUGCCUGCUAAAACUUUAUUCUUAAGAUUUGCAAAUUUAUAUUGAACUAACAAAAAAAGCCAACUGUAGCUGACAAUGUUUGCCUUCUAAACUCUCUCCAGGCCACCAGACCAAGAAUAUCACCAGAAAAAAUCAGGAGUUAAAUUAUAGUUAGAAAAGGGGAGAAAAGUAAGGUAGGACAUUAAAUUUUUAUUCUGAAAUUAUCUCUGGCCACGACAAUAAAAUGUAACAAAUAUUCACUGAACAGUCUUACUCCUGUCUUCAGCUGUACAAUACAUACAGUAUCAUAGAACUGGCCACUAGGAUUAAAAUCCACCAGAACAUAUUUCAUGUUAAGUGGCGACAGCAGCAUCUCACAGAAAUGUUUACAUACAUAUGUACACAGUCCACAUUCAACCAUUUUCACAUAUUUUCAGUACACACAGUUGCAGCAUAUUUCAGUCACGUGUCUAAGAUGUUGCUCGAUGAAAACCCAAGCCACUGCCUAGACAGAACUGUAGCAGUUGAGCUGAGUAUAAUUACAAUUAAUUUUAUAUAUGUCCAUAGCAGAGAGAUGUACAAGCCCCUAAGAAACAGAGUUGACAAAUACUUUUUUUUUAAAUGCUACCACAGCAUUAUGUUGGGCGAUAUUAAAACCUUUACCAACCAAAUCAGUUUUUUUUUUAAGUCUUCUGCUUACCAGAAAUAUUCUUGAUGAGAAAAAUUACAAAAAUGAAUGCUCUCUUUAAAAUAAUUCACACUUUGAAGAUUCCAAUAUGGCCCAAUGCUACUGAUGCCUAAAGUGUUGCCUAACCUCCUGAUGGAGUCCUUUAACACGACUCCAAACCACCCAUUAAGUUUAAAAGUGGCUUAAGUGCCUUGCACCCAAAUUGUAAAAAUCCCUGGCCAUCCGUACUAGAGCCAGGCACAUAUAAAAGGAAUGCACUUUGGUUCAUACCAAAUGCCCUGGGAUUAAUCACACUAUAAAAUUAAAUGGUUUGAGGUAAAUUUUUACAAAUACAGUUGAUUUUUGUCUAGUGUUACCAUAACAAAAAAAUAUCAUUUAAAAAAUCAGUCUGAUGUUAAGAUACAACAAAGACCAUCUUUAACCCCUUAAACAUAGGAAUUUCCUGUGUAACUAACCAAAUGGUUACCUUUUUCAAUGCCUGAUGAUGAUUCACGCCUUAUGGUUUCUAUUAAGGCCUGUAAGUAACUGGAUAUUUAAGACAGAUGUAUCUUUGCAGAGCUGGGUUCCAUCCUUACUGCCGGGUAUUCAAAGAGUUAAAGAGGCCAAAAAAUGCAUGCCCUACAACAUGGCAUUCAGAACAAAAGGCACAUUGUUAACACUAAGGGCACAACUUCUCCUCUACUGUUGAUCUGCACUGUCCUGCAUCACGGUGCUGUUCCCCUGUCGUAGCAACGCACUUAAGAGGUGAUGCGCACUGUGGAGGUGCCAGAAACGGAGCCAGAUGAGACUGCAACCGAAGACAAGACACUGUGCUAGUCUGAAGUCUGAAAACAGCUCAGACAUCCCUAGACACUGGUAACCUGUGAGACCGAGGACUGUUUCCAAGCCAACUCCUAGUAGCCUAUUAGAGCCCUUCAUUUGUUUUAAAAUCACAGAGAUGCAACGUUUUUCUUUUUUUGAUAUAAAUAAGCCAGAAUUUUUUAAAAGCAGCCCUACCACUGAACACUGAACCUAGUGGCUCUUAUGAAUGAAGUAGAUCUCACCGUAUUUGGAGGGCGGGGCAUAGCGCUGCCCAUUAUAGUUUGGCUUCAAAGUUUCCGGUUGCAUUUGUGAAUAUCAUCACAAAUGCACUGUUGGCAUCUUAAGUACCAGUUUUAUGUGGCGGGGAAAAGACAAGCAGUACUAGUCCAUUUAUAAAUUUUCACAUGUAUUUUAUAGGGAAAUUCCUAUUAAUGGCAGGCUCAGGUUCACGUAAACCUAAAUGUGAAAAUGAGGGUGGAUAUGGAAGAGGAGAACUGCAAGGGAAAAACAGCUUUUAUGUUUUUGUUUUAAAGAAGCUAACCAUCAUUCAGAGGCUUAUGGUUUUACAAAGCCACCAUACCAAGUCUUACACUUCUUAUGCCUUUUAAGUCAAAAUUUUAAUAAUAAAUACACAAUCUUUAAAUUCUAUAAGCCACUGAUUGGGGGUAUCGUCACAUGAGCAUCAUUUAAAAAGCAACUUACUAACAUAUUAUUGCACUUCCACAGAUUACACAGAAAUGUGUACAACAGGCUAAAGAAUCUGACUAGGGGAAAGAAGCUAUAAUUUCUAAGUACAGAAGUACAAAUUAAUUUAUCAGUGACACCCUUAAAUAGUAAAGCAAAUAUCAACAUCACUAUCUUAUUAAUAAGCUAAUCUUAUUACUGUUUUUUGGCAAAUAUCUGUAAUAUUUCCUGAGCGUUUUCUCCAUCAAACGACAAAGCCUCAAGAUAAGAGUUUUGUUCAAAACUUUCUUUUUUCUUUUUUCCUAAGUAAGAGAAACUGUAGGACUAAUAUUAAAAGAACUUAACCGGAAACUUUCCUGGCCUCGCUGGGGACCAUGCUUUAAGUACUUGUAAAUCAAUUUACAGGCAAUACAAUAAUAUCUGUGCAUAUAAAAGAGUAUUUAUCCUAAUUUAUACUACCCAAAACCUAUUGUCCAAACAGGCAAAAAAAUCUUUCUAUAUUAAAUUGCACAUACUAAAAAAUUUCUUCCACGUGCCUUGAAAUUGAUAAAUAUCACUGCUCAUACAUUAGUGAUAAAAUACUUAAUUUUUCACUUUGAAAAUAAUUAUUAUUCAGAGACGAAAAUAUUCUUUUACCUCUCAGUUAACUUUUCCAGGUAAAGUGUCAUUCCCACAAAUACAGUCAGUGCAAUCCAAAAGAAAGUAAAAUAGAGGAAUGCGAUCCGUGAUUUUCCUAAUGAUGCAAGUAAGUCAAACCAUUUAACUUGAGAUUGAACUUUUCCUCCUUUAACUACGUUGUUUAAAUUGACCUCACUGAAAAGUCACAAUGACUUCUGUUCAGCAAGAGGAUUUUCAAGCAUCUUUCUUUUUAAAGAAAGAGUUGAUGCUUUCCCAGGCGAAGAGAACCUUACAGUGGCACCUGAAAAGUGUGAACUCACUCUAACUUGCUAAACCUUCUUUGGAACUAUGGAAAUCCCCACCUUAAGUAGCUAGGCUGCUGUUCUUUUUUAAACUGGGAUAUGAAAACAAUGGUCAUAAUCACAGCUGAAAUGUCUCUCUUCUGUAUUAACAGUCUGGGAUAUAUAUGUGAAGGAAGGAAAAAAAAAAAACUAAAUGCAAGCAACAGAUGUGUAGUGAAAGAGGAACAGAGAGGAGAAAAGCAAAGAGGAGGAACAGUUUAUGGAAUACAUUUUUGUAUUUAGGUGCAAAACCAAUUCCGUACUAUGAGGCUUCUUUACAAACAGGUCGCUGAUCAUAUUAGAAAAUUUGGAGGAACGCACAUGUUUCCAUUUAUCCACCCAGGUCUGCUUGGCCAGCUUUUAGAAAGUCAGAAUGCUAAGUGGGCAUGUCAACUUGGGGACUUUGUGUUUGUCUGACCACUAGUUUAGGAAAAAAUUCUCUGAGGUCAGUUCUGCUCAUUAAUCAUUUUUGUCCUGGCCAUUCUUCUCCCACCCUCACUACCACCCACGUCACUUAUGGGAAACGGAAGCAGGACGUGCUACACCUGUGCGUGAACCAGGAGCAUGGCGAGGGAAGGGGGACCUUCCGGGGGGCAACUGCCUGGGGGAGAAUAUACUAUGAACCAUAGAAACAGUGAAUGUCUUUGACACCAAUCUGUAAAUGCGCAGCAGUCACGAAGUAAUCAAUGGCCUG
rnacentral:lncRNA from 1 species